AGGGUUUUAAACAUGUACGUCUCACCUCACCACACUCACGCACAUGAGAGAGAGCCAUCCCUCCGCAUCACACCUCUAUCGGCAUCACCACCGCCACCGCCACCGCUGCCAUAUCUCCGGCAUCAACGAUACAUAGUAGGUGAUGAAGGUUCCGUAGAUGAUUAAAGACAGUCACGAUAGAGGGUUUUAAGGGAGAGUAGGUCGAUGGCUUAGGAUGGUUAAAUGACUGAUGGUGGUGGAUAUGGUUCUACAGAUUGGCGUUGCUAGGGUUCCGACGAGAUUUUAGCACGAUUCUGGUGACCCGGUUCAGUUUGGAAGCAUAUGAAAAUGGAACAGGCUUGGAAGUGAUUUUUAGGAAUGGGAAUGAUCCUUGGAAGUCUUAAAGGCAUCGAUUUGGGGAACCGGAGACUUUUUUUAUGCUCAGAUAUGAUUUCCGGCGGUUAAGGCGACUUUCCCGCGGGUAAAGGUUGUGGCUGCAGACCACAGUGACUGAUUGGUGGCGGUCCUCGAGUUAAGGGAGCUGCGAGAUGAGACGACUUCUGACCGUCGGUUCUUUGUUUUCUUUGUAAAAUUGAUACUAUCAACAAUCGGUUUGAUUUUUACCUCCUACUUCCAUCAAUUACAGUUCUGAUUUGUGUAACCAUUUCUUUUUCUCUUCUCCUGUUGCGCUAUUAGGGUUUGGCUGAGAGAGAAGCAGAUGAAUGACAAUAAAAUGAAAGAAGAAAAGAAGUCAGGGUUGUGCCUCGAACGUUAAAAUAGAGUAAUUAUGUGUUGAGUUCAACAGGUAAGUUUCUCACAAAAUAGUUAAUUUUAAAUUGCACACUGUUGGUUAUGCAAUGUUUGUAUGUGCUUAUCUUUCGUUUAUAAAUAGAUUGUUUUUCCAAAUUUGAUUGUUUGGGUUGGACCGGUUUCGGCUUUGUUUGACUUGCUCCAAACCAGUUCGAUUGGGCCUAUAAACGGAUUUGUGCAUCGCUAUUAACAAAGCACAAGAUUUACACUCCAUGGUGGAGCACCAAUUCUGGCUAUAUGUCUCCUAUUACCUAGAGGUGUAUGUAAAUUAGUGUGGGCCCAAACCAGUUUGGGUGUAAACUGGCAUGUUUUUUAACAUAGAACUAUCAUACCUGGUCAAGCUUAAACAUGUAUUAGAUCUAACAACAUGAAAGGUUUAGUUCUACUUUUUUAUUUUGUUUUAGAAUAAGUAAUGCACCGGUCAAUUAAGUAUACUAAUAAUGUGACUCGUGUUUUUUAAAUACUUAAAUUCAUGUUCGUACAACCAAACCUAAGAAAAAAAAAAGUAGAAGCAUGAGGUCCUCACAAAUAUCUUUGAAGCUAACAAUUUGCUAAAGCUUAGGUACAUUUUCAAUUCUUUCUUUUUCUCACUUUUGUUAGUGGUAAAUUGGAUUUUAAAUAGUGUUCGACUUUAGAAAGUUAUAUCUCCAUUUCAAAGUUUCAUUUUAAAAUGAUAAUAGUUGGUAGUUGAUGAUAAUCGAGGUGAUGAGGAGGUUGUUGAUGGUAUGGGUUAUAAAGGUUUGAAAAAAUGGAUUAAUGAUAAUUGUGGUCAACUACACGGAGAUGUGGCACAACUUUGAGGGUCACAAAGGGACCAUUGGAGCUGGUAAUUUGCAGUGGAUGACUGCUGGAAGAGGAAUUGUAUAUUCUGAAAUGCCUGCUUCGUCGUCGUCGAAUGCCGAUCACUCCGGCUCCGUCGUCUUUUGGUCUCCAGUAUUCGAAAUACGGCGAUAAAUCGUCGUCGGAGGCAGUUUUGAGUAUAGUUUGACUGUUAAAUUUUAGUUGUUAAUGGUUAUUUGUUAGUUGUUAAUAUUAUUGUCAUGUGUUUGGUUGAAACUUAUAGAUUGUUUGUGAUUAGGUUUAGAUAUGUAGAUCGACCGAUCAAGGAAUUAAUGAUUUACAUCUCUACAGAUCACACGUCAAAUAAUGUUUCAUACCGACCAAGAGAAGGUGAUCGAAUUUGUACCUCCACGGCAUCGGAUUGUCAAAAGAAACAAACUGGUGAACAAAAAUAUCUUUCUGAUUACAUCUGGGAUGGCACUCAUGACAUGUUAUUUUUCUUAUAAUGUAUUUACAUUCUACGCCAUCACAUGUAUUAUAUAAUCAUCUAAUAUUCUCAGGUUCACUCAGCAUUUUUAGGUGCAUAUAAUUCAGUUAGGAGGAGAAUUAUCUUUCUCAUGAAAACAACUAUUGGCCAUCUAUUUUCGCUUCAUGACCCAAUUUGGCCCUUCAACAUAGUUGAGAAAAAAGCUCCUACGUGUCUACCCGACGAGAGUUGAUGGGUGAUAAGGCAACGCAGUGUGUGUGUGCUUGGUGCAAAUUUCUCUGCGGGUUUUGUUGCCGGCUGUCACCACAUGUCUACUAGAUGUCUCAAAAACUCAAACACAAGUAGUGGUAUUUAAUAGAUGUUUAUAUUGACAUUUUUCUGUCGCAAAAACUCGAAAACGAGUAGCCGUAUAGCUCAUGUAUCUAACCAAAUAGAUGUAACUCAAUGACAACAAGCUUAAUAUUUAUAUAAAUCUAGCCUCCCGCCGCAUCGCGGCGGGUUACUUUUCUAGUU